GUUUAUCGACCGCUAACGGUGAGAACCUCCUCCUUCUGCGGCACGUGGGGCCGUUGUCUUCCUCAUCGCCAGUUUGGUAGCGCUGCUGUGGAGGCUGCUGGUCAACCGGCCCUGUAGUCCCUUUCUUUUUUUUCUUACUUGUAUUGCUGCCAUUGAUCCGUACACCUCCUCCGGUGAACACCUUCGUCCAUCUUUCUCCCUGUUUCCUUCGCCUCCUCUCCCGCACGAGGCCGAGGAGCACGGGGGUCACAUGUCUUUCGCGUACCAGCGCCUGAAGAUGCGGGCGACGACGGUCGCGGUGGAUCACAUGCGCAGCUUCUGCGACGGCUGCCACCUUGUCCUCAGCGCCGUCACGCACCCAUUCAAGCGGUUUGUCGGACGCGUGAAGGCAGAGGCGCCGUGGGUGAACACUCUCGUGGCCUGCACCUUAGUGACGGCUCUCCCUCUCAUUUUUUAUCCGUACGUGAAGAAGUACGUGCUCAAUGACGAACGCGCUGCUGCCGAGGCGGAGCGCGUGCGGCUGUGCUUGCAGAAGGGCAUUGACCCGUACCCGUACAUGCACCACAAGGAGUUCGUGUACGGCAACUCGGCGCCGGUUCUGGCCAACGAGACGCAAAUUCCUCAGCGGAUCGGGUGGGAGUUCAAGGCCCUCGAGAAUUACUACAAGAGAAAAGAAGAACUUCGGCAUGAGGUGGGCGGCAACAUCGACGACACGGUACAGAAGCUUAUGACGCUCAAGAAGGAGCAGCGGAGCGCGUACGACCGCAUGCGCGGCAAGCCUGGAACGGAGCCGCGCGAUCUCAUUUUCCGCGGCCGCAACGAUGUGGACAGGCUUACGUCGUAGGCAAGGAAAGAAACGGAACAGCGCAGCACCUGCAUCCUCGAAGCGCUUCGCCCCCUCCGUUUCAAUGCGUGUGCUGAGACGGAAACGUCGAGGCGUCAUGUUUGCGUGCCUACCUUCAAUGGCUACGCGUUUUCUGCUGUACGUCUUUCAUCCUUGUUACGCUUAUUGUUUGCGAAGCGCGACUGACGGCUGUUUGUCGCCGUCGUGGUCGCAUGACUUGUACAGGAGGCAGAGGUGGAGGAGGGAGGCGCCAUGGCGUGGGCCGACUGCUUCGCUGUGACUGUAUCGCGCAGCUGGUUGUGGUGGGUGCUCAGGGCUCCUCUGUGGCACCCCCUUAGACGAAAUGGCAAGACAUUGUGCGGAGCAGCUGAGGAGAACAGGAGCGACGUCUAGCUGUUGCCCCCCUCCCUUCGACGACAGACCGUGACGCAUACACUCUGUUAAGCCGACGUCUUCGACGGAGAUGAGCCGGCGGCAGAAAGUGCAAAGACCUCUUCGGGAGCAAGAAGUCGACGCUUUCCCAGAGCGCGUCUCAGCGCUCUCGGCAGCACAUCACUGCAUGAAGCGAAGCCUGGCGUGUAGGCCAGAAACAAAGGCGAAGGCACUUCGUGACACCCCCUCUGAAUCGGUCAACAGCCUACACACCACUUCUUUGUUUCCAUCCCCGUCAAUCCGUCAGCUGUUUCUUCACUACUUCUCCUCAAUACGACCAUCCCUCCUCUCGUCCUUGCUCUGGAUUAUCCGGUUGCUGCUGCCACCGCUCUCUCUCUCUCGCGCGCUCCUCGUGCCCCAAUCUACCUCACACAUUUGACAAACAUCGCCAUUGGCGCUCUGCUCAG
rnacentral:misc_RNA from 1 species